ensembl:lncRNA
UGACUGAAUAAAAUUAAAAAAAAAAAAAAAAACUAGGCUAACACAGGAGAUCUUGGCAAAAGACAGCUUUUGCUUUCAAGGACCUCAUGGUCCCUUGGGGGAGGUAACAUGAAAACAACUCUGUACAAACAAGCUACACACCAUAUAAAUAGGGAAUAAUCUGAGAGAGAAGACACUCCAGGUAAGGAGGAUCAGGGAGGACUCCCUGUGCCCAAACCCAUUGAUUUGGAACUCUUUCUUUUUGGUGGAGAUGAAGGACUCCCCCUACAUGAAGGGCUUUUCUUGGCAAAGAUUCUGGGUGAUUUCCCAUUUCCUUUUCCAGAUAAUUUUACAGAUGAAGAAACUGAGGCAAAAAAGGAGAAGUGAUUUGCCUGGGGGUGGCCAGAGAAUCCUGGAAAGUAAAGAUGCCCAAUGGGCCAAGUCUAUCUAGACCUGGGCGUCUACAUCAAAUACCGACUGGAUGGCUCACUAUUCGACCUUCGCCACCUGACUGCAAAAACAAAGACAACAGAGAGACUCAUCCUGGAAGCUCUCUUUGCAGAUGACUGUGUUCUCAUGGCCCACCAAGAAAAUCAUCUCCAAACCAUUGUGGACAGGUUCUCCAUCGCAACAAAACUGUUUGGCCUGACUAUCAGCCUCAGCAAAACAGAGGUGCUGUUCCAACCUGCACCAGGGAGGCCAACGAACCAGCCAUGCAUUACAAUCGAUGGCACGCAGCUUUCCAACGUCAACACUUUCAAGUACCUGGGCAGCACCAUCGCCAACGACGGGCCCCUAGACCACGAGAUCAAUGCCAGGAUCCAAAAGGCCAGCCAGGCACUCGGGCGGCUGCGCUCCAAAGUCCUCCAACACAGCGGUGUAAGCACUGCGAUGAAGCUCCAAGUGUACAACGCAGUGGUCCUCAGCUCGCUCCUGUACGGUUGUGAGACAUGGACACUGUACCGGAAGCACAUGAAACAGCUGGAGCAAUUCCACCAACGCUCUCUCCGGUCAAUCAUGAGGAUCCGAUGGCAGGACCAAAUCACCAAUCAGGAAGUCCUCGACAGAGCCAACUCCACCAGCAUCGAAGUCCUGGUCCUCAAAACCCAGCUACGAUGGUCUGGACACGUCAUCCUCAUGGACCCACAGCGAAUACCAAGACAGGUAUUCUAUGGGGAACUGUCAGCUGGACUCAGGAAACAAGGCCGACCAAAGAAAAGAUUCAAGGAUCAGCUAAAGUCCAACUUGAAGUGGGCUGGCAUGACACCAAAGCAGCUAGAACUCGCUGCCUCUGACAGAAGCAGCUGGCGAACCCACAUUCACCAUGCUGCCACCACCUUUGAAGAUGAGCGACGUCGACGUCUUGCCGCUGCGCGUGAAUGCCGACACCAGGCCACACCCGCACCUCCCGUAACAACUGGCGUCCCAUGCCCCAUGUGCCACAAACUGUGCGCCUCAGUCUUUGGACUCCAAAACCACAUGAGGGUACACCGUAGAUGAAACUGCACAAAGACAAUAGUCAUUCUCGGUCACCGAGAGACUACCACAACAAACAAUGCAUAUAGUCUUUUAAAAAAUUUUUAUUUAAUUUGAUGACUUAGAACAUUUUUUCAUGGUUACAAGACUCAUGUUCUUUCCUUUCCCUCCCCCACCCCCUUCCUGUAUAUGAUGCACAAUUCCACUGGUUUUAACAUGUGUCAUUGAUCAAGAUCCAUUUCCAUAUUAUUCAUAUUUACACUAUGGUGAUCAUUUAGAGUCUACUUUCCCAGUCAACCAAUGUGAUCAAGCAAUCGUUUUUCUUCUUUGUUUCUUUUCCCACAGUUCUUCCUCUGGAUAUGGAUAGUGUUCUUUCUCAUAUGUCCCUCUGAAUAGUUCUGGAUCAUUGCAUUGCUACUAGUAGUAGAGAAGUCCAUUACAUUCGAUUGUACCAUAAUGUAUCAGUCUCUGUGUACAAUGUUCUCCUUGUUCUGCUCCUUUCGCUCUGCAUCACUUCCUGGAGGUUGUUCCAUUUCCCAUGGAAUUCCUUCAGUUCAUUAUUCCUUUGAGCACAACAGUAUUCCAUCACCAACAUAUACCACAAUUUGUUCAGCCAUUCCCCAAUUAAUGGGCAUCCUCUCAUUUUCCAAAUUUUUGCCACCACAAAGAGCGCAGCUAUGAAUAUUCUUGUACAAGUCUUUUUCCUUAUUAUCUCUUUGGGGUACAAACCCAGCAGUGCUAUGGCUGGAUCAAAGGGCAGACAGUCUUUUAGCGCCCUUUGGGCAUAGUUCCAAAUUGUCCUCCAGAAUGGUUGGAUCAAUUCACAAUUCCACCAGCAAUGAAUUAAUGUCCCAAUUUUGUAGAUAUAGUCUUUAUCAAAGAGGAUGAAGCAAAUCACCAUUUAGCAGUUCGGUGGAUGUAGUGUUAGAAGCAUUAGGAUUCAAAGGUAUCACAAAAUCAUAGAUUUAGAGCUAGAAGGGACCUUAGUGAUCUUCUGUCUAAUCUGUCUCCUCAUUUAGCAAGU